rnacentral:lncRNA from 1 species
CCCAACAUACGCCAUAACCCAUUAAAAUCCACCUAACUCUCUCCUAGGCCAUUCAAUUAAGGCCUAAUUUCAGCAUCCCCAUCAGCCGAUUUUUCCUCCUUAUUCUCAAAUAGGCCCAUACCAACCCCCUGUGACCCGUUCCGGCCCAAUUCCCUUAACUCUUAACUUCUUUUUCUUCAAACCAAGGGAAGAAACAUAGUAGUAGUACUACGACAACACCAACCAAACGUACAACCUUAUCAAUAAUUCAACAACCUGAAAUAUCGAUAAUCCCAAUAAUUUAAACGUUGAUAGCUUUCAGCAUUAAUGUUUUCACCCAUAAACGAUGAUGAUAACCCAUCCACAACCUCAGCCAGCAACCAAAUCACCCCCAAAAACCCAUAUUCCGUGAAACCAGAACCCAUUGACCCAUUUUUAGCCAAGGNNNNNNNNNNNNNUCUUUCCCUUUCAGUUCGCAUGGAUAGCGUGACCUCCACGUGAGUUCAUUCGUCGAAGGACCUCGAGUCUUCUAGAAUGAGUCAAUGUGUCUCCCCCAAUGGCCCAAUUCUACAAAUUUCGGGUUCAUUGGUAUAGAUUCACACACUCGAUUGUUUCUUAUUGGUUCGCGAAGAGAACUCCACUUUAUAGGUUGAAAAAUUUUUAAACCCCUGGGAAGAAUCCAAAAAUGAGUACGAAAGGGGAAACCCGAUGUUAUCCUUUUCAAGGGUGGAAAGAAACCCUAGCAUGAUGGAUUUCUCUGUAAAGAGGUAGAGGUUAGAGGCUGUUAGGGGGAUUAUUUUUCAAUCGGAGAGAGCCCUAAAAGAAACCUUAGAAGUCUCUCUACAAAAUAGUUGAUCAAAAAAAAUGAGGAUUUCUUUUAUCUCGUUUCUCCUUUUCUUUCCCUUUUGAGUUGGUAGUUUUAAAAGUAAAGGUGGGUUUAAAAUAUUUUCAGAAAAGCUGAGGGUUGAAAAUAUUUAGUUUGAAAAUAUGGGGGGGUUUCAAAAUCUCUAAGAGGAAAAGAAAAGGGACACUCUGUUGGUGGUCGACGUCGCGAGAUUUCGAUAGCGACAAGUUUGCUAAUAGCUCGUUGUUCUAUUUGCUUCGCCAAAAGAGGUAAAUGCACGCUCGUCCCUCUUUCUGCUUCAUUUUGAUGUUUCUUGCUUCAUCCCACUUUCUUCGUAGAAGUAGUUAUCUGUGUAUCGUGAAUGAUACUGGGGUGUCUGUUUAGGCUGUCUGUUGUAGAGGUCUUAAAGACCACAGAGCACAGUUUGCUGAAAUUAUUGCUUGUCAUAUAAUUAUGUGUGGUGUCAAAUUGCUAGCUUAACGGUUAAGGAAUACUUCUUGAGUCUCACAUGCAUGUCUCAACUUUGUAAUCUGCUACUUGAUUUAACCUUGUUAAUUAGUUUUUCGAUUCGCUGCUAUGUAUUGGUAUUGAUCGUGGAUUUAAUCCAAUGUUUCACUUCACUAGUUAUCCGGCGUAUCAUGUUAUAAUUGGUAAUACAUAAAAGUUUCACGUGUUAAUAGUUGUAGGGAUAAUAAUAUCCUAUUACAAAUGAUCCUACGUCAAGUUCGUGUUUUGCAUUUAUUUCAUAGUUUCAGGGUGCGGGUAUGUUGUUCUAUCUGAUCUCCUGGGUAAGGUUCAGUAUUUUUACUUGUUUAGUAAGUGUAGAACUGCCAGAGUUCUGUUUACCUGAUUCGAUGGUUAGUGUCGCGUGUUUUGGCGCUUAUCAAAGUUCUGUUGAAAUUUUGUUGAUCUUUUCAUGACUAAGGUGGCCUAUUUUUGUUUCGUUUGAUAAAUUUUGGGUUUCCAAAGUUCGUUUACCUAAUCUCAGUGUUCCUUUCAUUAUGGGAUUGUAAAGUUUGAACUUGUUAUUUCACCUUCGAGUUCAUUCUAAGUCGAUAUUUCUACUUUUUGGAUCCCCAAGGGAAAUGUAAUUGUCUUAUUGAAAGAGGAUGGGUAGGGUCCCUUCGAUAUUGUAUUUGAGUCUGAAUGAUAUUGUAUAAUGAAGAUAUGAUCUUGACUUUCAAAUGACCCGGCUUAUGAACAUCCUUCGCAUUUUGUUCUAAGCCUGAAUGUUUAAAUUUUGAGGUUAUAAUAUGCGAAAAGAUUAUUUUGACCAUUAAGAGAAACGAGUCUUUCGUUAUGUGUUUGGGACUCCCCGUGUUUCAUUCUUGGUGUUUUAUAUAGUGUUCUAACGAUGUGUUUGAUGUAAAUUAUUUGGGUGUAUUACUAGUGUUAGCUAAAGUUCCUCAACUCAUUAAUUAAUAUGAAAGAUUUAAGCUGGUGGCAGUGCAUUUGAUGUAAGGGACAUUCUCCCGCUUUGCUCAAACUAAUUUUCUUUGAUUGCCUCUCCAUGGUUCGAUAUUUUGAGUUUUCUAUUUGUUAUUUUCCAACUAAUCUUAUAGGAUUUUGAGGGUACGCAUAGGGAAGAUUUUGACUCAGAAUGUUGUUUGCCUAUAUGAACGCACCCUCACACUUCUCAUUAGCCUUAUGGCUUUGUUUUGACUGACUAGGAGUUAGUUUGCUCGGUGAUGUCUUUCAUUUAGAUAGUCAUAUGUCAUGCAUCUUAUUUUUUUUAUUUAUUUCCUUGAUUUAAUUUUUGUGUUUCUCUCCUUUAACCCCCCUUUUCCUUUUCUUUCUUAGUUGAUCAAAUAUUAAUGGUCAUUACUUUCUUGCUUUGCAUAAACCCGCUUGAGAGUCCAAACGGACUUUUUCCCUUGCGUUUCGCAGUGGGCCAUGGAGGCCCAUCCUUUAGGAGACUUUGAAAAGCAAAUUGCAUGGCAUACAGAUACAAGAAGUCGAAAGAGGAAUAAUGGGUUAAAAUCCCAUACUUAAAGCGACGAUGAAGCCCGAGCCUCAUUUCUGUUUCUUUAUUUAAUGUCAUUAUCUACCUAUUGUUGUCAUUUUAUUAUUAUUUAUUUCCUCUUUUUUCUGUCAUUAUUCAUUCAUUUAGGCCUCGAAGCCGAAUUUGUAUUUAAUAUAGGUGAAGUGAGACUCGAGCUAAAGCCUCGCAAACAAAGAAUUAGGGUAGGUGAAAAUGGGUCGAAAACCAAACUAGAUUAGGACAGGGUCGAUGGUUUGGGCUUAAAAUCCCAAAUCACCACUUCCCCGCUUUUCCCCUUUUCCUUUCAUUUACUUGUUUACUUAUCUCUUUGCGAACCUAGUUAAAUCCCUAACUAAGUCGCUAAAAAACUGAUUUCGUGAAAACCUUUUCCUUAGUCAAUUACUUUUCCAACAAACCGAUUUUCCAAAGUUAAUCAAAAGAAUGUUUUCAAACAGUCUAGAUAACCGCAAGUUAGUGGACGUUGAAGGUGCCUAAAACCUUCCUAAAACGUUAAUAGGAACCUCUUACUCAGAAUCUCUAAGUUAAAACGAUUUUUCUGUUUUGAUCGUUUUAAGUAACUCUCUAAAGGUUUCUUAAUUCCUUUUCAAAUUUAAGUGGCGACUCUAUCAAAAGUCAAAAAUUUCCGCAAAACAGAAAUGGCGACUCUGCUGGGGACCUCUAACUAGGUUCUAACCAAAUGUUUAAUUUCGUCUUUUGAUUAACUGUUUAUGUAUUUAUGUGAGUCGAUUCUGUAGAGUUUAAUUAUCGCAUCUCAUGGCAUAUUCCUACAUCAUUUAAACUAUUUUGGGGUUUCGUGGGUAUCCCGGCCCCUAUUGAUCAAUUCCAAAAAUGUGUUAGAAAUACAAACAGUUUAUUAGCACGUGAGUCGUCUGAUGGCUGUUUGUAUUUUCAAACUCAAGUUGUCCGCUUGAGAACUAGUAUUCAAACCCACUCUAGAUACCUAGGAUAGAGCGAAACCAAAACCCUAUUUCAGGCAUGAGCUUAGGAUGACCCAAUACCCAAGCGGGGUAUUUGGCCCAUUAGAAAAUUUGUCAUGCGUCUAUUGACCCCGAGUCAAUUAAUGACAAACCAUAUUUAUGUGUUGAAGAAAAUGUAUGCCUGUCUAAUUCAAUCUAUUAUCCAUUGGGGGUCGGGAGAAGACUUGCUUUACUCACUUUUGUAUAAGUAUGCCUCAAUCGUACACCAAUUGACGAAGGAAUUGAAGCAAGUUAAGCAAGAAAUUGAUCGAUUUGGGAGGUUGCAUCUAAGGCACAGUUUGAACAUCAAUGGAUGUCACCAAUAUAAGAAAUGGACGAAGCUAAGAAGGUGAAAGUUGAUAGAAGAAGCACUCAGGAAUUAGUAUUUUCUAUCCCCAGUGUGGGAACGUGUCUUUUUCAUGUUAUUUCCCUUUCCCUAAAGAUUGUAUCCCUUUUAUUAUAUAUUUUGUAGGAAUUUAUGCCCUUUUAGAGUUUACAAAAGUUGGGGGAUAAUUGAUUGACCUUAAGCAAGCAUAUAUUUUUUUUCAAAAAUCGUAGGCCUGAACCCUUGGCUCAAAAAGGGUCACCCCAGCUAGGCUAUGCAUUAUUAUGUUUUGUGUGAUAUAACUAUUUUAUGUGCUUAUGUGCAUUUGUUUGGAUCAAAGGCAAGUUUAUCCACUAUGUCGUAUGGAUGAAUUUGGCUAUGACUCAAACAAAUCUAUGUGGUUAUUUCCUGUCAAAUAUUUUGCAUUACUUAUCACAUACGGAAACUAACACAUCUGCCUUUGAGUUGUUUUACUUUACAGAUAAUAGAAAUUACUCUGUGUUAACAUAAACUGGCAGAACAUCUCUACUUCACCCGAUCGAAAGCGCACAAAAUCCCAUCCUCUAACAAUCAUUCAAAAAUGAUAGAAAAUUAUGAAGAAAGCACACUGACUAUCCGGGACAAUGUGAUAGCAGAGCAGAAUAAGAUGAUUGCGGAACUUGCAAGAAAGUUAGAAAUACUUCAGAAGAAAUAAAUCACACUCUGGAUUUGGCUAACUUGGCCAUUACCGUCAAUGCCCCCGCUCCAGGAGGACACAGGACUCCACUCCAAAUUCCUCCCCUCAGUACCCCUACUCUUGGGGAUCAGCCAAAUAAUGUAUUGUCCGUCUCCGCUCCUCCAUUUGUCCAAAAUACCAAUCAUGAAAAUAACCCAGACGUCUACCCUCUGCAAAAUCCACAGAACCCGUCUCUGAAUCCAUUCCCAAAUCCUCAAAACACAUUUUCAAAUCAACAAAAUGCAUUCCCAAAUCCGCAAGAUUCACUCUCAAACCCACAAAAUACGUCAAACCUACCUUCAAAUCCCCCAAAUUCAUUUUCAAAUCCACAAAAUCCUUCUCAGAUUCCGUUAAACUAAUCGCAAAGUCCGCAUAACCUUCCCAAUUUCCAAAACUUCCUCCCCACUUACCAACCAAAUUCCUUUCAUCCAUAAAAUCAAGCCUCCCUUCCAAAUCCCUCUCAGGCCAUCGUAUCCCCUGAUAUCUAUGAACUCCUUUCUAAUUGCGAGAUGGACCAUUACGAGGAGAAUGAGAAAGAGUGGAGGACCGAGCAUGAAAGAAAUUUACUAGCUAUGGAGGAAGAGAUCAUGAGGAUCAAAGAGUCUCAUGGAGUCAGGGACCACGACAGUUUGGGGUAUGACGAUUUAUGUGUUCACCCUGGAGUAGACCUACUGGAUGGGUACAAAAUUCCUAAGUUUGAAAUAUUUGACGGUACCAAAAAUCCAAUGGACUAUCUGAGAAGGUACUGUGAGUAACUGAUAGGGAUAGGUAAAAAUGAGGCAUUGUUGAUAUGCCUAUUCAGUCGAAGUUUAAGCAGCAAAGCCUUAGAAUAGUUCAUGUCUCAGGAGCCGAAAAGAUGGACAGGAUGGAAAGAAUUAGCCAAGGUUUUCCUUGACAGGUUUGCAUUCAACAUUGAAAUAGUCCGUGAUCGAUAUUCACUAGAUCGGAUCAAACGGAGGAAUGAUAAGAGUUUUCGAGACUAUGCUUUUCGUUGGAGGAAAGAAGCUGCCAAAGUGCAACCCCCAUGUCCGAGGAAGAAAUGGUAUCCAUGUUCUCUCGCACACAAGAAAUAGAAUAUUAUACCAGGAUGAUGUCAGAUGUUAGGGAAACUUUUACGAAUUUAGUAAAAAUAGGAGAAUCAUUGGAAGAAGGUAUUCGUACAGGGAAAAUUGCCAAGACCCCGGCAUUAUCUAGGGCUGCCAUGUUUUCGAAGAAGAAAAAGGAAGAUGUAGGCACGAUUUCUGCUAAUCUUAUUGCAAAAAACAAAAAAGAAGAUCAACUCUAGGAAUGUUUUCUCUUCUCCGCCAUCACCAAGCUUUCAACAUGUAUUCUAUGCCCACCCCCAAUACCAAGCUCUACAGCUAAAUAUCUCCCCCCAAUACCGAGCCCCACUCCCAAACCUCCAAUCCUCAUACCAAGCUCCACAGGCAAAUAUCUUUCCCCAAUACCUAGUUCCACAUCCAAAUUAUCAGUCUUAUUUCCAAUCCACUCCUCAAAAUAACCCAACAAAUUCCCAAGCGCCUCCAAAUUAUCACCAAGUACCUCCUCCUACAAAUCAAAUCCAUUAUAACCCCCCACAUCCAAACCACGAAAAGAAAUUCCCCAAAACUUCACACCACAAAAUGAAAGUCGCACCCAAUUUUUUGAAAGAUUGAAGAAAUGCUGGUCAUUUGCAACCAAUACAGCCAAGGACUGUCAAUCCUAACUCUUGAUUUUUUAAUGCAAGUCAACAUUGUUCCUAUCAUUAAGGAGCAGUGAGGCACAGUACUAAGGAUUGUAUCUACCUGAAACAUAGGAUCCAGGAUUUAAUCGAUCAUAAGGUCAUCACGCUCGAGGCACCUACACCAAAUGUUAAUAGUAAUCCAUUGCCCAACCAAUGGGGACCUAUAGUUAACAUGAUUGAAAUAGAGGAUGAAUAGAUGUUAAAUAAUGAUGGUCUUGGGGAUGGGAUAGGAAAUCUGUUCAAGGGAUGCAAUGUUGUACCGGAAGAUUUUUUAAAACACAGUUGGGUAAAGAAGGUUGCACCAGGAGAGGCUUUACAAAAUUAGACUUCCACUCUGCUCCUAAUUCGUCACCCGUCGUGGUAGAUGGAAGGGCAAUUACUAAUAGUUUUUAAAAUCGGUGAUGAUCCAGAGAAGGCCCCAUGAUCCACCCUUUUAUGUUUCAAAUUUUUGUUUCGUGUUUUAAAACUUUCAAAAAGGCAUGGGCCCACAUUUAUGUGGGUCAUAAUCCAUGGUUUUUAUUUAUUUAUUUUCGAAAAGGCCUCCCUUUAUUUAAGAAGUUAUUUUUUUAAAAUAUGAUUAUCUAGCUUGGUUUAUUUUGGUAGCAUUAAUUUAAAAACCUGCCAAUGUCAUGUCAUGUCAAGGGUUAGACGAACAAGGCAAAGGAAAUAAUGAUGAACAGAUAAGGUGAUAAGGAGCAGCUAGUAGUAGAUAUAGAGGAAUGUGAAAAUCAAAAGAAGCCCAACCUGGAAGAGCUCUGAUUUUGUCAUAGAUGGAUAGCACAGAGUGGACCAAACCAAUCAAUUCUGAUGUGGUAAAGAGAUAUUAUGUUUGAAGGACGUUCUAGUUUUCGUGUUUCUUUAGUUAAUUUACUUGUAAUCACGUUCGUAGUAAUGUUUUUUUCUAGUAUGUAACUGCCUAGAAUCCUUUCCCUUUAUGUACGAACUACGUUUGACCUAAAUUCCCAAGAAAGGGAUUCAUAAUCGGCCUAUGUCGGCUUCGGUCAACCCCUUGGGACAAUUUAUCCUUUCCCUUUAUUUACGAACUAUGUUUGACCUGAAUUCCCAAGAAAGGGAUACGUUGGCGGCCUAUAUUGGCUUCGGUCAACCCCUUAGGACAAUUUAUCCUUUCCCUUUAUGUAUGAACUACGUUUGACCUGAAUUCCUAAGAAAGGGAUACGUAGGCGGCUGCUUUGGUCAACCCUUAGGACAAUUUAUCCUUUCACCCUAUGUAUGAACUACGUGAUGACCUGAAUGCCGAAUAAAAGGGAUACGUAGGUGGACUAUGUUGGCAUUGGUCAACCCAUUAAUUUCUUUUGUAUAUCCCUAGCGUAGUUCUGAACUACAUUUGACCUGAUUCAUGUUUCAACGAGAUACGUAGGUGCCCCAAUGGCCCGAUCAUAUAACCCCAGAAAAUGGAAACUGGGGAAGAAGUUUUGAGAAGGAAUCUCGAAAAUUCACAAGAGUAGAUCGGCAUCCAACAAAGAGACUGAAGAUCAGCAAAGACUUCAGAUCCACUCAGAUUGGUAUCAUCUCAAACAACUCUAAACUGGGGCAAAAAUUUUGAGGGAAGACCUCAAAAUUUCCACCAGAUGCUGGAACAUAUCUCAAAUUCCCCAGCACGAGAGGUUAAGGCCAAACUUUUAAAGUAGUCAACUGCGACAAAGUCUAGGCAAGCUCAAUCUCUUUCUAUGAUAGAACUACUUGAAGAAAACCUCUAACAAUGAUCAUGAGCUUUGGGAAUCAUUCGUCGAAUAUAGUCAAAACCAUGAGGAGGACGUUCAUUGAGCUAGUACAUGACAUGACUGGCAGAGAUUUUCUAAAGUUUUACAGAAGCUUUUGAAACUAUUUUCUAAAAAUUAAGACUAUUUUCAAAAAUCUUACAACUCACUUAUUUAGUACUUACCUAGACAUCACUCGGGAUGAAGUGUCAGGACGGAAGUACCGAUAUGGCAAAAUGCCCAAGAGAUGGCGAACAGCAAAUCAAGGAUCGAAGAAGGUCAACACAGAGUAAUUUCAUUAAAACUAAUCAUUUUUCUGUGGAUGCAGGGAUCAAUACAAAAAAAUGAGAGUUUCUUUCAAAAAUCCCCAGCAAAUUGGGAGCCACACCAGAGUACCAAUGCUCAAGAAUGGUAAUUUAGGGUAGCCCUAAAAAUGGGUUUAAUACCCAUUUAUUGAGGACCUUUUGAUUUGUCCACCUCAUUUCUUGAGAUCAUGGAACACAAACAAAGGUGUAUUGUCUUCUUUGUAAAUAUUGUAUUUAGAAGUUGCCUAAAAAUAGUCGCUAGCAAAACCGACUUUGUGUCUACUAAUCAUCUACCUUGAGUACAAGUACAUGUAGAAAGAAAGACGCAGACAAAUGAACUCAGGUAAAAUUAUUUUAAAAUUUGCCAAGAGGGCCAUUGCAUAUCAUUGCCGCAAAGACCAUUACAUAUCAUUUCCUCAAAGGCCAUUACAUAUAAUUGCCGCAAAGGCCAUUACAUAUCAUUGCCUCAAAGGCCAUUUCAUAUCAUUGCCACAAGGGCCAUUGCAUAUCAUUGCCGCAAAGGCCAUAGAAUAUCAUUGCCGCAAGGGCCAUUGCAUAUUAUUGCCACAAAGGCCAUUACAUAUCAUUGCCGCAAAGGCCAUUACAUAUCAUUACCACAAAGGCCAUUACAUAUCAUUGCUGCAAAAGCCAUUACAUAUCAUUUCCGCAGAGGCCAUUACAUAUCAUUGCCGCAAUAGCCAUUACAUAUCAUUGUCACAAAGGCCAUUACAUAUCAUUGCUGCGAGGGCAAUCGCAUAUCAUUGCCGCAAGGGCCAUCUUAUAUCAUCACCCAAGAUGGCUGUUCAAUAUAUAUGUGGAUGCGCUAGACACAAUGCUGGUGUCGAGGAUAUCAUCAGCAUUCAAUAUAUCUAUUGACGUGCUAGACACAAUGUUGGCAUCAAGGAUAUCUUAUUAUUUUAUAAAUCAACAUCUUAAUGCAUCAAGAGCACACGAUUUGAAAGGACGCCUUUAAGUUGUUAUCUAAGGAUGAAUGAUAUAUAAGAUUUCCUAGAAAUUGACAAUUUGAGGGUCAUCUAUAAGUCAUAUUAUUUGAAAUAGGAUAGUAUGCAAGAUCACCUAUGAGUUGAUAGCUUGCAGGCCAUCUGUAAGACACAACAACAUCCUAACUGUAUAGUGUGAAAGAUCGCCCAAAAGUCGAUAGUUCAAAGGUUAUCCAUAAGUCGCAACUAAAUCCUUACCAAAAAUAUGCAAAAUUAUCAAAUUGAUACGUCCAAAGGUUCUCUAUAAGCCGCAUCAUAUCCAAGAUCGAUUAUGUGUAUGAUUACCCAAAGACUAACAAUUUAAGGGAUUAUCUAUAAGUCAUGUUGUAUCCAAGGUCGGAUGAUGUGCAGGAACACUUGAAAGUUAGCGAUUAGAGGGAUAUCUAUAAGCCAUCUCUUAUCCAAAGUCGAAUAAUGUGCAGGAUUACCUAAAAGCUAACAAUUCAAAGGAUAUCUAUAAGUUUCCUCGUAUCCAACGUCAAAUAGUGCGCAAGAUUAUCCAAAGAUUGACAAUUUAAGAAAAACUUAUAAAUUGAUCAUCGGCUAUAACCGGAGAGGUUUUCAUUCCACAUACAACAAGUGAUAUAGGUAACCAAAAGGGUUGCCACUCCAGCACAAGAUUACACGGUUGUAGGGACCGUUCUGGAUAAAGUAUCGCCGGUGUCCCCCACUUGGAAGACACAUUCAACCGACAAAUGUCACAAUUAUACAACAACCAAGAGGGUUGUUGUGUUUGUUAUUGCCAGUUAUUUCAUUCCAAAUAGGUACAUGAAGAGAUGACUCCGCUUUUCAGGCCACAACUUACUUAAAGAUAUGGUAAAAGACUACAUACCUCUAUCGUGAAUUAUGUUUAGCACUAACACUUUUUGCUUGAAGCAUUUUCGAGAGCAUCCGAUAGGAUGAAAAUCUCAAAUCAAAACAACAGCUGUAGACGACUUCAAAGAGGAUGCAACACAAUGCGGAACUCUUUCUCAGUAGCAAAAUGGGACAUACUCUAGAGAGGGAUGUCAAACUCUCUAGACGCGAGCUAAAUGAUGAUCACCACCACCAUCUAACCACGCCUCUAUUAGAAGGCAUGUGGAUAUUUUUGGAUGUUCUUGUCUCAGUUUUACCUCUGGGAUAUUUUCUUAACUCAUACCGACGAAAACUUUCUUUUUCUUUCAAAUUCGGGUGGCAACGCACUUAGAGUUUUGGAAAUUAUAUUCAGGUAAAUUCUUGACUAUGGAUGUGAAGGAUACCACAUUCAUGGUUAAUAGGUUACAAUCCUCUUUUUCGCAACUCAAUCAACUUGUCACUCAUUCUGAGCCAAAGAUAGUCUGAAAUAAAAGACUAUCUUUUCUACCGAUUGAGUCGAACUACAAGCAGUCUGAUUUCCUGAAAUCUUGGGGAUAUGUAGGUUGGGAUCUAUGUAGAAAACUAGACUGCAUUCCAACCUCCCCCCAAAUCCCUCUAUUCCCCAGCUUUUCGGCUUUAUCGAGAAUUCCAAAAAUCGAGACAACUUGUGAAUUUUUUAAAAAUUGUGCUUUAAAUCAAGCCUUAUGAACUACAAGUAACCUUAAUUCUCAUGUAACCUGAGAUAUGUGAGAAACCCAAUACCGAGGUUCGGCCAUAAUUCUUGCAACUGGUACGAAAACCCACCUCUUUCCCAUUCGAAUUUGUGGUUGAACAAAAUUAGGAACGUCAACCUCCCUUUGCCAAGGGUUGCUUGCAUUCACCCUACCCAAAAAGAGGGAGCAAUUGUUGACACCUAAUUUUUGUUCUCCACGACUAAGUUUAAUCCCGAAUUUCUUGAAUAUUAAAUAAAAUCACAACAUAUAUUUUUUUUUGAACAAAGAUAUUUUUCACAAUUAUUCAGGUAAAUUUGUAAACUUUAAGUAAAGAUUAUAUAUUAUCGUGUUUUAUAUAUAUGAUAUCAUAUAAUUUGAUUACUUGUAUAUUUAUUAAAAUAUUAGAUUUUAAUUAAGUCUUAUUCCAAAAAUAUUUUUAAUAAGUUGAUUUUAAGUACUACGUGUUCUUGAAAUAGCUUAUACGGAAAUAAUUAAGUAAACAUAUGUGUGUGAGUUUAUCAAGACAAGAAGCUCAGGUUAAAUGAGGUAUUAAUUCAUUUUGAAUUUUGAUUCAGUUUAGCCAAUCUAUUAGGAACGCCAUAAUCGAAAUCCAAAUGGCCAUAAUUGCAAUGCAAUUGGCCAAUUGAUUUCAAUUUGGCCAAAGCCUAAAUAGAAUUGGCCAAUUCCCCAAUAAUUAAAAUAGCCUAAAGGUAGACCAGCUUUAGUACCACUAAACCCAAAGUCACAUCCUCCAAACGGCCCAACAUACGCCAGAAACCAUUAAAAUCCACAUAACUCUCUCCUAGCCCAAUCAAUUAAGGCCCAAUUUUAGCAUCCCAUCAGUCAAUGAGGAUUUUUUUAUCUCUUUUCUCCUCUUCUUUCUCUUUUGAAUUGGAAGUUUUAGAGGCAAAGGUGGGUUCAAAAUAUUUUCAGAAAAGCUGAGGGUUGAAAAUAUUUAGUUUGAAAAUCUGGGGGGUUUCAAAAUCUCUAAGAGAUAAAGCAAGGGGAAACUCUGUUGGUGGUCGACGUCACGAGAUUUCGAUAGCAACAAGUUUUCUGAUAGCUCAUCGUUCCGUUUGCUGCCCCGAAAGAGGUAAAUGCAUGCUCGUCCCUUUUUCUACUUCAUUUUGAUGUUUCCUGCUUCAUCCAUCUUUCUUCGUAGAAGUAGUUAUCUAUGUAUCGUGAAUGAUGCUGGGUUGUCUGUUUGGGCUGUCUGUUGUAAAGGUCUUUAAGACCACAGAGCAUAGUUUGCUGAAAUGGCUGCUUUUCGUGUAAUUAUAUGUGGUGUCAAAUCGCCAGCUUAGCUGUUAAGGAAUACUGCUUGAGUCUCACAUGCCUGUCUCAACUUAGUAAUCUGCUACUUGAUUUUCAAUUUGUUAAUUAGUUUUUCGAUUCGCUGCUGUGUAUUGGUAUUGAUCAUGGAUUUAAUCCACUGUUUCACUUCACUGGUUAGCCGACGUAUCAUGUUAUAAUUGGUAUUAUGUAAAAGUUUCACGUUUUAAUAGUUGUAGGUCUAAUAAUAUCCUGUUACAAAUGAUCCUACGUCAAGUUCGUGUUUUGCAUUUAUUUCAUAGUUUCAGGGUGCGGGUAUGUUGUUAUAUCUAAUUUCGCGGGUAAGGUUCAGUAUUUUUACUUGUUUAGUAAGUGUAGAGCUGCCAGAGUUUUGUUUACCUGAUUCGACGGUUAGAGUCGCGUGUUUUGGCACUUAUCAAAGUUCUGUUGGAAUUUUAUUGAUCUUUUCAUGACCAAGGUCUCCUAUUUUGGUUCUGUUUGAUAAAUUUGGGAUUUCCAAAGUUCGUUUACCUGAUCUCAGUGUUCCUUUCAUUAUGGUAUUGUAAAGUUUGAACUUGUUAUUUCACCUUCGAUUUCAUUCUAAGUCGAUAUGUCUAUUUGUUGGAUCCCCCAGGGAAAUGUAAUUGUCUUAUUGAAAUGUAAUUGUCUUAUUGAAAGAGGAUGGGUAGGGUCCCUUCGAUAUUGUAUUUGAGUCUGAAUGAUAUUGUAUAAUGAAGAUAUGAUCUUGACUUUCAAAUGACCCAGUUUAUGAACAUCCUUCGCAUUUCGUUCGAAGCCUGAAUGUUUAAAUUUUGAGGUUAUAAUAUGUGAAAAGAUUAUUUUGACCAUUAAGAGAAACGAGUCUUUCGUUAUGUGUUUGGGAUUCCCCGUGUUUCAUUCUUGGUGUUUUAUAUAGUGUUCUAACGAUGUGUUUGAGGUAAAUUAUUUGGGUGGAUUACUAGUGUUAGCUAAAGUUCCUCAACUCAUUAAUUAAUAUGAAAGAUUUAAGCAGGUGGCAGUGCAUUUGAUGUAAGGGAAAUUCUCCCGCUUUGCUCAAACUAAUUUUCUUUGAUUGCCUCUCCAUGGUCCGAUAUUUUGAGUUUUCUAUUUGUUAUUUUCCAACUAAUCUUAUAGGAUUUUGAGGGUAAGCAUAGGAAAGAUUUUGACUCAGAAUGUUGUUUGCCUAUAUGAACGCACCCUCACACUUCUCAUUAGCCUUAUGGCUUUGUUUUGACUGACUAGGAGUUAGUUUGCUCUGUGAUGUCUUUCCUUUAGAUAGUCAUAUGUCAUGCAUCUUAUUUUUUUUAUUUGUUUCCUUGAUUUAAUGUUUGUGUUUCUCUCCUUUAACUCCCCUUUUCCUUUUCUUUCUUAGUUGAUCAAAUAUUAAUGGUCAUUACUUUCUUGCUUUGCAUGAACCCGCUUGAGAGUCCAAACGAACUUUUUCCCUUGCGUUUCGUACUGGGCCAUGGAGGCCCAUCCUUUAGGAGACUUUUAAAAGCAAAUUUCAUGGCAUACAGAUACAAGAAGUCAAAAGAGGAAUAAUGGGUUAAAAUCCCAUACUUAAAGCGAUGAUGAAGCUCGAGCCUCAUUUUAGUUUCUUUAUUUAAUGUCAUUAUCUACCUAUUGUUGUCAUUUUAUUAUCAUUUAUUUCCUCUUUUUUCUGUCAUUAUUCAUUCAUUUGGGCCUCGAAGUCAAACUUGUAAUUAAUACAGGUGAAGCGCAACUCGAGCUAAAGCCUCGAAAACAUAGAAUUAGGACAAGUGAAAAUGAGUCAAAAACCAAACUAGAUUAGGACAGGGUCGACGGUUUGGGCUUAAAAUCCCAAAUCACCACUUCCCCUCUUUUCCCCUUUUCCUUUCAUUUACUUGUUUACUUGUCUCUUUGCGAACCUAGUUAAAUCCCUAACUAAGUCUCUAAAAAAUUGAUUUCGCGAAAACCUUUUCCUUAAUCAAUUACUUUUCCAACAAACCGAUUUUCCAAAGUUAAUCAAAAGAAAGUUUUCAAACAGUCUGGAUAACCG